rnacentral:lncRNA from 1 species
GUCUGGGCGCGCUGGGCUCGUUCCGGCGUAAGAAAGCAGCGCUGCCGGGGCGAGCGGCAUUAGGGAAGCCAGGGUUGGGGGCUGCAGCCCAAGAGAGGCGGAAGAUUCUGGGCAGCCCUGUGGGGCAGGCCGGGUGGAGUUGUAGACCUGCCCCCAGGGUUGUUCUCUUGUGAGGCCACAAUCCCGGUCUGCCCACUAUCCAUGGCCCAGGUUUGUAUUUAGAGCGAAAACGAAAAGGAGAGAGGGUCUAACCUUGUCACAGAGGUAGACAUUCAGGGUGGGCCUAGGGACCGUGCCAAAGCUUUGGCUAGUGAAAAGGGCGGACGCCAAGGUCCCCUUCGGGUCAGCUGUCCGCCUUCGAUGGCUCAGAGACAAGAGACACUCUGAGCCAGUCCGAGGGCAGGCACGCCCUGCUCUCCUCCUACCAGUUCACCCCAUGG